UACGAAGGGGGCUAGCGUUGCUCGGAAUUACUGGGCGUAAAGCGCACGUAGGCGGCUUUCUAAGUCGGGGGUGAAAUCCUGGAGCUCAACUCCAGAACUGCCUUCGAUACUGGAAAGCUCGAGUCCGGGAGAGGUGAGUGGAACUGCGAGUGUAGAGGUGAAAUUCGUAGAUAUUCGCAAGAACACCAGUGGCGAAGGCGGCGAUCUGGGAAGAUACUGACGCUGAGGUGCGAAAGCGUGGGGAGCAAACAGG
rnacentral:rRNA from 1 species